ensembl:lncRNA
CCAGAUAUGACCAUUACCCAGGCACUUUGCUGGAGCUCAUUAACAGCUUUUCCCAAUGUGUGAAACAUUUCUUUUACUUUGCCCUUAAGGAAGAAACGGGUGGAAUAGGAAACAAAGGCAUUGAAAUAGUUAUCAUUCUUGAAAUCCCCAGGCAGUUACAGUGGGAGGCACUGCACGCAGCACAUCAGUCUGUUUGGCCAAACACAACCACCUAGGAUCCAGGGGCACAGCUCUUCCCACUCAAGAUACAAGCAGCAACGCAUAGUAAAGAGAGAACAGAGCCUCACACGGGUACAGGCUGAUAGAAAGUAGACUUGAAAAGUAGGACGAAGACUCUUCUUACAUCUUCUUAACAUAAUUUUCUCUUAGUAAUGCAAAAAAAAAAAAAAACCCACACCCUAAAUCACUAUCAAUCAAAGCAUUCAGUUUUCAUGGCCCAGACAGAGGCAGAAAACUGAACACAAAUCCCCAAACACAGCACUUUCCACAUUGGCUACUCCCAUUGCUGGCAGAACAGAUCACUCUCAAGAUGUGUUUGGGUCUCCAUGCAAAGAACAGAAGUCACACUGUGCCUGCCAAAGUCCAGAAGCUUUCCUGCACUGUCAGGCACAUACCAUGUCAAGCAUCCAAGCAGUUGGAGUUGAAAGAAGAAAGAGGGGAGAAGGAACGAAUGACAAGCAGAAUAUAAUUUCAUUAAAGCACACCACUGUGAGAAUUCUCAGCACUGUGAGAGUACAAGGCAGGCUAAUGGGUGAAAUUCAGCCCCACUGCAUAGGGUCAGUCUGGAGGAAGAUCUGCCAUCGACUUCAGCUAGCUGACCCUGAC